rnacentral:rRNA from 1 species
AGCAUAUCAAUAAGCGGAGGAAAAGAAACUAACAAGGAUUCCCCUAGUAACGGCGAGUGAAGCGGGAAAAGCUCAAAUUUGUAAUCUGGCGCCUUCGGUGUCCGAGUUGUAAUCUCGAGAAGUAUUUUCCGCGCUGGACCGCACAUAAGUCUGUUGGAAUACAGCGUCAUAGUGGUGAGAACCCCGUAUAUGGUGCGGAUGCCCAGUGCUUUGUGAUAUACUUUCGAAGAGUCGAGUUGUUUGGGAAUGCAGCUCAAAUUGGGUGGUAAAUUCCAUCUAAAGCUAAAUAUUGGCGAGAGACCGAUAGCGAACAAGUACCGUGAGGGAAAGAUGAAAAGCACUUUGGAAAGAGAGUUAACAGUACGUGAAAUUGUUGGAAGGGAAACGCUUGAAGUCAGACUUGCAUUUUGGAGUUCAGCCGCAAGGUGUAUUCUUCAAAUCGCAGGCCAGCAUCAGUUUUUGGGGGUGGAAAAUCGCGGUUUGAAGGUAGCAGUCUCGGCUGUGUUAUAGCUUUCCGCUGGAUUCACUUUUGGG